rnacentral:rRNA from 1 species
AUUGAACGCUGUCGGCGUGCUUAACACAUGCAAGUCGAACGGGAGUAUUGAAGAAGCUUGCUUUAGAGAUACUUUAGUGGCGGACGGGCGAGUAACGCGUGAGGAGCUGUCCAAUGCAGGGGGACAACAGUUGGAAACGACUGCUUAUACCGCAUAAGCAGAGAGGUAAAAGGAGUUAUCCGGCAAUGGAGGGACUCGCGUCCUAUCAGCUAGUAGGUGAGGGAAAGGCUCACCUCGGCGAAGACGGGUAGCCGGCCUGAGAGGGCGAACGGCCACACUGGAACUGAGAGACGGUCCAGACUCCUACGGGAGGCAGCAGUGGGGAAUAUUGGGCAAUGGGGGGAACCCUGACCCAGCGACGCCGCGUGGGUGAAGAAAUCCUUCGGGAUGUAAAGCCCUGUUGUAUGGGAAGAGCGGAAGACGGUACCAUACGAGGAAGCCCCGGCAAACUACGUGCCAGCCGCCGCUGUAAUAC